rnacentral:tRNA from 1 species
CAAGGUGUAGCGCAGUCUGGUCAGCGCAUCUGUUUUGGGUACAAAGGGACAUAGGUUCGAAUCCUGUCACCUUGA